rnacentral:rRNA from 1 species
UGGGGAAUAUGGGACAAUGGGCGAAAGCCUGAUCCAGCCAUGCCGCGUGUGUGAAGAAGGUCUUCGGAUUGUAAAGCACUUUAAGUUGGGAGGAAGGGCAUUAACCUAAUACGUUAGUGUUUUGACGUUACCGACAGAAUAAGCACCGGCUAACUCUGUGCCAGCAGCCGCGGUAAUACAGAGGGUGCAAGCGUUAAUCGGAAUUACUGGGCGUAAAGCGCGCGUAGGUGGUUUGUUAAGUUGGAUGUGAAAUCCCCGGGCUCAACCUGGGAACUGCAUUCAAAACUGACUGACUAGAGUAUGGUAGAGGGUGGUGGAAUUUCCUGUGUAGCGGUGAAAUGCGUAGAUAUAGGAAGGAACACCAGUGGCGAAGGCGACCACCUGGACUAAUACUGACACUGAGGUGCGAAAGCGUGGGGAGCAAACA